AUCCCUGACUCGGGGUCGCCUUUGGAGCAGAGAGGAGGCAAUGGCCACCAUGGAGAACAAGGUGAUCUGCGCCCUGGUCCUGGUGUCCAUGCUGGCCCUCGGCACCCUGGCCGAGGCCCAGACAGAGGAGUGUGAAUUUUAGACACUUCUGCAGGGAUCUGCCUGCAUCCUGACGCGGUGCCGUCCCCAGCACGGUGAUUAGUCCCAGAGCUCGGCUGCCACCUCCACCGGACACCUCAGACACGCUUCUGCAGCUGUGCCUCGGCUCACAACACAGAUUGACUGCUCUGACUUUGACUACUCAAAAUUGGCCUAAAAAUUAAAAGAGAUCGAUAUUAA
rnacentral:lncRNA from 1 species